GAUGAAGAACGCAGCGAAAUGCGAUAAGUAAUGUGAAUUGCAGAAUUCAGUGAAUCAUCGAAUCUUUGAACGCACAUUGCGCCCGCUAGUAUUCUGGCGGGCAUGCCUGUUCGAGCGUCAUUUCAACCAUCAAGCCCUGUUUAGGCUUGUGUUGGGGCCCUGCGGUUGCCGCAGCCCCCUAAAUGCAGUGGCGGGCUCGUUGUCACUCCGAGCGCAGUAGCGUAUCUCGCUCUGGGCGUGGCGGCGGGUGCUAGCCGUGAAACACCCACUAAGGAUGACCUCGGAUCAGGUAGGAAUACCCGCUGAACUUAAGCAUAUCAAUAAGCGGAGGA
rnacentral:misc_RNA from 1 species